UAAAUUGAGAGUUUGAUCCUGGCUCAGGACGAACGCUGGCGGCGUGCCUAACACAUGCAAGUCGAGCGGAGAAUGCGGAUAUGUUUACAUAGAAGCGUUCUUAGCGGCGGACGGGUGAGUAACACGUGGGUAACCUGCCUCAAAGUGGGGGAUAGCCUUCCGAAAGGAAGAUUA
rnacentral:ncRNA from 1 species